AUUGAACGCUGGCGGCAUGCCUAACACAUGCAAGUCGAACGAGUGGCGGACGGGUGAGUAAUUUCUGGGAAACUGCCUGAUGGAGGGGGAUAACUACUGGAACCGGUCGCUAAUACCGCCUACCAUCAGCUGUGCCCAGGUGGGAUUAGCGUGUGGGUGGGGUAAUGGCUCACCAAGGCGACGAUCCCUAGCUGGUCUGAGAGGAUGACCAGCCACACUGGAACUGAGACACGGUCCAGACUCCUACGGGAGGCAGCAGUGGGGAAUAUUGCACAAUGGGCGCAAGCCUGAUGCAGCCAUGCCGCGUGUGUGAAGAAGGCCUUCGGGUUGUAAAGUACUUUCAGCGGGGAGGCGUUACCCGCAGAAGAAGCACCGGCUAACUCCGUGCCAGCAGCCGCGGUAAUUC
rnacentral:rRNA from 1 species